UGCUGAUAUCCACAUGAACAUGUUUCGAUUGGAACUUUGAAGCCCUCGGAGUGUUAGCUCCCUUGCAGGCUUCGUUCUUCAGCUUGGAUCAGUGCCCUUUACUUUAUAUCACUUGAAGCAGCCCUACUGCAGAUUUUUGGGGAUUGAACCAAAGACCAAAACUAAUCAAGAACUCCUUGAUUAUUUUUUCUAUCUCUUUAAGGCC
rnacentral:lncRNA from 1 species